CGGAGGAAAGAACCAACAGGGAUUGCCUCAGUAACGGCGAGUGAAGCGGCAACAGCUCAAAUUUGAAAUCUGGCCCCAGGCCCGAGUUGUAAUUUGCAGAGGAUGCUUUUGGUGCGGUGCCUUCCAAGUUCCCUAGAACGGGACGCCAGAGAGGGUGAGAGCCCCGUACAGUUGGACACCAAGCCUUUGUAAAGCUCCUUCGACGAGUCGAGUAGUUUGGGAAUGCUGCUCAAAAUGGGAGGUAUAUUUCUUCUAAAGCUAAAUACCGGCCAGAGACCGAUAGCGCACAAGUAGAGUGAUCGAAAGAUGAAAAGCACUUUGAAAAGAGGGUUAAACAGCACGUGAAAUUGUUAAAAGGGAAGCGCUUGUGACCAGACUUGCGUCCGGUGAAUCACCCAGCUCUCGCGGCUGGGGCACUUCGCCGGCUCAGGCCAGCAUCAGCUCGCUGUCGGGGACAAAAGCUUCAGGAACGUAGCUCUCUUCGGGGAGUGUUAUAGCCUGUUGCACAAUACCCUUCGGCGGGCUGAGGUACGCGCUCCGCAAGGAUGCUGGCAUAAUGGUCAUCAGCGACCCGUCUUGAAACACGGACCAAGGAGUCAACCUUAUGUGCGAGUGUUCGGGUGUCAAACCCCUACGCGUAAUGAAAGUGAACGCAGGUGAGAGCUUCGGCGCAUCAUCGACCGAUCCUGAUGUUCUCGGAUGGAUUUGAGUAAGAGCAUAUAGGGUUGGACCCGAAAGAAGGUGAACUAUGCGUGUAUAGGGUGAAGCCAGAGGAAACUCUGGUGGAGGCUCGCAGCGGUUCUGACGUGCAAAUCGAUCGUCAAAUAUGCGCAUGGGGGCGAAAGACUAAUCGAA
rnacentral:rRNA from 1 species